GACGAACGCUGGCGGCGUGCCUAAUACAUGCAAGUAGAACGCUGAAGGAGGAGCUUGCUCUUCUGGAUGAGUUGCGAACGGGUGAGUAACGCGUAGGUAACCUGCCUGGUAGCGGGGGAUAACUAUUGGAAACGAUAGCUAAUACCGCAUAAUAGUAGAUGUUGCAUGAUAUUUACUUAAAAGGUGCAAUUGCACCGCUACCAGAUGGACCUGCGUUGUAUUAGCUAGUUGGUGGGGUAACGGCUCACCAAGGCGACGAUACAUAGCCGACCUGAGAGGGUGAUCGGCCACACUGGGACUGAGACACGGCCCAGACUCCUACGGGAGGCAGCAGUAGGGAAUCUUCGGCAAUGGACGAAAGUCUGACCGAGCAACGCCGCGUGAGUGAAGAAGGUUUUCGGAUCGUAAAGCUCUGUUGUAAGAGAAGAACGAGUGUGAGAGUGGAAAGUUCACACUGUGACGGUAUCUUACCAGAAAGGGACGGCUAACUACGUG
rnacentral:rRNA from 1 species